AUGGACGCCUUCUACUCGACCUCGUCGGCGGCGGCGAGCGGCUGGGGCUACGACUCCCUCAAGAACUUCCGCGAGAUCUCCCCCGCCGUGCAGUCCCACCUCAAGCUCGUUUACCUGACCCUAUGCUUUGCCCUGGCCUCAUCUGCCGUGGGUGCUUACCUGCACAUUGCCCUGAACAUCGGUGGGAUGCUGACAAUGCUCGCGUGUGUUGGAACCAUCGCCUGGAUGUUCUCUGUGCCAGUCUAUGAGGAGAGGAAGAGGUUUGGGCUGCUGAUGGGUGCAGCCCUCCUGGAAGGGGCUUCGGUUGGACCUCUGAUUGAGCUUGCCAUAGACUUUGACCCAAGUAUCCUCGUGACAGGGUUUGUCGGAACCGCCAUCGCCUUCGGGUGCUUCUCUGGCGCCGCCAUCAUCGCCAAGCGCAGGGAGUACCUGUACCUCGGUGGUCUGCUCUCCUCCGGCCUGUCGAUCCUGCUCUGGCUGCAGUUUGCCACGUCCAUCUUUGGCCACUCCUCUGGCAGCUUCAUGUUUGAGGUUUACUUUGGCCUGUUGAUCUUCCUGGGAUACAUGGUGUACGACACGCAGGAGAUCAUCGAGAGGGCGCACCACGGCGACAUGGAUUACAUCAAGCACGCGCUCACCCUCUUCACCGACUUCGUCGCCGUUCUCGUCCGCGUCCUCAUCAUCAUGCUCAAGAACGCAGGCGACAAGUCGGAGGACAAGAAGAAGAGGAAGAGGAGGUCCUGA
rnacentral:rRNA from 1 species